rnacentral:rRNA from 1 species
GGCAGGGGACAUGGGUUAUUCGAACACGCGCAGAACCUUACCAGCUCUUGACAUCCGGGGUCUGGGCAUUGGACACGAUGUCCUCCACUGAGGCUGGCCCCCGAGCGGGGGCUGCAUGUCGGCCGCUCGCGCGGGUCGAUGGUUGUUGAGUAAACUCCACUAACGAAACCAACCUUCUCAAUUAAUACCAACAAUUUGGGGGGUCCCCUUAGAGUGCCGGCUUUUAUAAAACAAAAAGAACGGGGGGAUUUCCUCUCAUCUAUCAAGUCCCAUUAUGUGGUGGAGCCAAACGGUUAAAAUUAUGGUGGAAACGGUGAGCAAUGAUACCACGAGGACUAAUUCACCUCCAAAAAACCUUUCUCACUCUUAGUGCUCUCUGCAACCCGUGUGCAAUGAAUGUAAAACCUCCAAACUCAGCGAUGUAAGUAAUAUCUCUGCAGAAGAAUAUGCCACGCAGGAUCUUAUCCCUCAACUUUAAAGUAAAAUCCUACUAUUCUUC